GUUGGAAGAUGCCUGCAAAAACGAUGCGGAAUUACGUGCUGUUCUUGGCGAUAGCAUUGGCAAUCCAGAGGAGAUGAGGAAAAAGGUUGAAGACAGAGUACGGAGGAAGGGUAGAGAUUUCCAAAAGUCUAAAACGGGUUCCAUCCUUGCCUUCAAAGUCAGCUUUAGAGACUUCAAUCCUCUUGAUUCCUACAUAUGGUUUGAGCUGAUUGGAUCACCAACUGAUCGAGAUGUUGAUCUUAUUGGCAGU